rnacentral:tRNA from 1 species
UGAUGUAGCGGUAGCAUGUCCAUCUGGUAAAUGGGAGUCGUACGUUCGAAUCCUAC